rnacentral:lncRNA from 1 species
CUUACUGUGCUCUCUUUUUAUUCCUAUUGAUAUAUGCUAAAAAUGAAUUUCUUUUCCAGCAGAGAGUCUGGGACAUAAAACUCAAGUUUGGCUACCCUGUUUUGUAGAUGUUAUAAUUAACAUCACUUCAGCUGUGUGAUUAAAAGCUUCUCAAAUCAGGGUCUGCUUUCCACCAAAUGGAACUUAGGAAAGCUCCAAAAAAUCCUGACUCAACCAUUUUCAAAAGGAGCAGGUCCCACCCACACCCCUGAGAAGCUACUGAUUCCUUCUAAAUACCUCUGACUGAGUUGAGUGAAAGCAUCAAUAUCCACGAAGCACUAUGCUAGAAAUGAGGACAGCAAAGUCAUGAACAGAGAUACAGUGUAAGGUAUGUUUGUGUCAUAUACAAUGAGAAGAAUUGCA